GUGUCUAUAGCCUAGUGGUAAAGGGUAGUGUCUUGGAUAUCAUUCUGGGGUUGUGGGUUUGAAUCACACCAGACACA